rnacentral:lncRNA from 1 species
UCAUCAUUCAUAUAGGUUGGGAAAAUAUUUUUGUAUUUUUUGAAUAUCAAAAACUAUUUAAAAUGGAUUAAAAAUAACCAGAAAAGAGAAAAUUCACAAAAAAAUAUCAAAUGACAAAAUAAAAAAUAUAAAAAAUCAAAAUUAGAAACUAGAAAUUAUUUGGAGAAGAAUGCAAUUGGUCCCAUAUUUUUUGGAAUUAAAAUGAAGGAGAUGUGAAUUUUUGAAAAUAAUGGAAAUAAAAGAAAUUAAAUGGAAAUUCAGAAAAUCAGAAAAAAGGAAAGGCGUUGGAUCCAGUUCAUUAAUUGACCUGGCUGAUCUAAUAGAUCUUAAACGCG